AUGAAGAGUUUGAUCCUGGCUCAGGAUGAACGCUAGCUACAGGCUUAACACAUGCAAGUCGAGGGGCAGCAUUUUAGUUUGCUUGCAAACUAAAGAUGGCGACCGGCGCACGGGUGAGUAACACGUAUCCAACCUGCCGAUAACUCGGGGAUAGCCUUUCGAAAGAAAGAUUAAUAUCCGAUAGUAUAUUAAAACCGCAUGGUUUUACUAUUAAAGAAUUUCGGUUAUCGAUGGGGAUGCGUUCCAUUAGUUUGUUGGCGGGGUAACGGCCCACCAAGACUACGAUGGAUAGGGGUUCUGAGAGGAAGGUCCCCCACAUUGGAACUGAGACACGGUCCAAACUCCUACGGGAGGCAGCAGUGAGGAAUAUUGGUCAAUGGACGAGAGUCUGAACCAGCCAAGUAGCGUGAAGGAUGACUGCCCUAUGGGUUGUAAACUUCUUUUAUAUGGGAAUAAAGUAUUCCACGUGUGGGAUUUUGUAUGUACCAUAUGAAUAAGGAUCGGCUAACUCCGUGCCAGCAGCCGCGGUAAUACGGAGGAUCCGAGCGUUAUCCGGAUUUAUUGGGUUUAAAGGGAGCGUAGGUGGAUUGUUAAGUCAGUUGUGAAAGUUUGCGGCUCAACCGUAAAAUUGCAGUUGAAACUGGCAGUCUUGAGUACAGUAGAGGUGGGCGGAAUUCGUGGUGUAGCGGUGAAAUGCUUAGAUAUCACGAAGAACUCCGAUUGCGAAGGCAGCUCACUAGACUGCAACUGACACUGAUGCUCGAAAGUGUGGGUAUCAAACAGGAUUAGAUACCCUGGUAGUCCACACAGUAAACGAUGAAUACUCGCUGUUUGCGAUAUACAGUAAGCGGCCAAGCGAAAGCAUUAAGUAUUCCACCUGGGGAGUACGCCGGCAACGGUGAAACUCAAAGGAAUUGACGGGGGCCCGCACAAGCGGAGGAACAUGUGGUUUAAUUCGAUGAUACGCGAGGAACCUUACCCGGGCUUAAAUUGCAUUUGAAUAAUCUGGAAACAGGUUAGCCGCAAGGCAAAUGUGAAGGUGCUGCAUGGUUGUCGUCAGCUCGUGCCGUGAGGUGUCGGCUUAAGUGCCAUAACGAGCGCAACCCUUAUCUUUAGUUACUAACAGGUCAUGCUGAGGACUCUAGAGAGACUGCCGUCGUAAGAUGUGAGGAAGGUGGGGAUGACGUCAAAUCAGCACGGCCCUUACGUCCGGGGCUACACACGUGUUACAAUGGGGGGUACAGAAGGCAGCUACCUGGCGACAGGAUGCUAAUCCCAAAAACCUCUCUCAGUUCGGAUCGAAGUCUGCAACCCGACUUCGUGAAGCUGGAUUCGCUAGUAAUCGCGCAUCAGCCAUGGCGCGGUGAAUACGUUCCCGGGCCUUGUACACACCGCCCGUCAAGCCAUGAAAGCCGGGGGUACCUGAAGUAUGUAACCGCAAGGAGCGUCCUAGGGUAAAACUGGUAAUUGGGGCUAAGUCGUAACAAGGUAGCCGUACCGGAAGGUGCGGCUGGAACACCUCCUUU
rnacentral:rRNA from 1 species